UUGUGGGAAGCGUGUCUCUUCCCGCCUCUCUCCUCCCUUUCGGGGCAGAGACAGGCGCGCGCCUGGAGCGGCCGUUGGCCGUGCUGUGCGUUCCCGCGCCUGCUGAGGGGCGGCUGGCGCGCUCUGCCCCUUACCGGCCGUCACGUGCUUUAAUCCCAGCUUGUAUGGAUAAAGCUAUGCCUACUAAACAAUGGCAUCCUAUAUUAAAAACUGCAUGGCAAAUGUGCAGCUGCUCAAUGACAGUGACCGCUAAUAAGAGCAGCCUUCUCAACGAAGAUAUACGCUGGCUGCUUCUAGCAAGAUCUGCACAUUCUGCAGGAAAGUGUUGAUCUUUUCCAUGGAGUCCCCACUACUGUUGAAAAUAUCACUGAAUGGGCACCUGGACAUUGCUGCUGCUGGCAUUUCUUGCUGCUGACCUAAAGAAGGAUCCAAAACAUCACCCUCGCAUUUCAGUUCUUUCCUCGGCCGGCCACGUUUCCCCAUUGCUUUUGGAAAUUCAAACUUUAAAAUUUAAAGCUCUUUCCCCGACUUCUCUUGUCCCACUGUCCUUGUUGCAGUUUGUGUGUGUGUGUGUGUGUGUGUGUGUGUGAGAGAGAGAGAGAGAGAGAGAGAGAGAGAUUGAAUGAAUCAAGGGACCUCCUGACUUUGAGACUCCGCUGUGGUCCUAGUGCUAGUUGAGUUCUAAACAAUAAAGGGGAAUGAAAAGAGUGACUUGAUUUUAUUUUAAUUUGAACUGCUCUUCACUCGCCAUUUAAGUUCUUAGCAAUUUUGCUUGGGCAGAUAGUAAGUACAUCAUCAGGCCCUGUCAAUUCAGGCUAGACUACACAAUGUUAAUCACGUUUCAGGGGGGGAAGAUGUUGGAUGGAGUGAAUUUAGAAUACCUUGUAGUUUGACUAUGGAAGAUUAAAAACUACUGCUUCAUCCUUUUUCUCAAUCCUACAUAUUCUGGGUUCACCUUUCAACUGCAAAGUUGUUUUUUCUGCCCUGUGAAAAAGUUUCACUAUAUAAACCUCUGAGGUUUUCAGCUACCAUCUCAUACAAUUAUAAUAAAGAGAGGAAAUAUUUUCCCUACUGGGCCAGCUAUAUACAGCACUUUAUACAUUCUGAUGAAAGCUGCAAAAAACAGACCCUCCCAGUUGCUUCUGCUCUUUGUAUGGAUACUAAAGGUUACCACCUUUGUCUUGUCUUUUGGGGCAGGGACUGACUCUUACUAUGUCUUCAUACAGUGUUCAGCACACUGGUACUCUGGUCUCAGCUGGCACCUCCAGUGUCCUGUUACUAUGCUACAUACCAACUGUGUAUUUUCCAUCCCAGAGCUGCUUGCACUCUAGUGGUGUUUGUAUGGUGACUAGCACAAUGUGGCCCCAAUCCGUCAGUGGCUUCUUUGUGCUAUCGCAAUAAAACUAAAGAUUAAUAAUAAUUUACAGUAAGAAGCAUGUUAUGAUAAUAAUUUAUAGCGAGAAGAAUGUUAGAAUAGUGUGAAGCAUGUUAGGGUGUGCUUUAUAAACAAAAUGAUUCUUAGCUUUAGAACAAUGUUUCCAUGCGUGCCCUCUCCAUUUUACUAUUUUUAAUCUUGAGGCAAUCUGAAAAAAUUGUUUGUGAAAUUGAUCAAAGUAUAGAACAGAUAGGCAGUGUGCACGUGGCACCUCCCUUCUUUCUUCCAUUGAUACCUCUGAUACUCUCACACUGUUUUAUGUGAGGUUGUAUAGACAAACAUCACCUAGAGACUAAAUUGAGAGCACCACAUUUGUUAAGCAGGGGAAAGGGUUGUACAGAAGCACACUAGAACAGCUUGGCCUACAUUUUCAAAGCGAUUAGUGAUCUUGGGUGCCUCUGGUUUUGGGUGUCCAAUUUAAGGCCUGCUUUUUAGGUGCUCAGCAGCCAAGAUCAGCCUCAACCCCUCUCAGAACAGAAUCAUUCAAAUACUUAUGCACCCAGUGGCACUACUGACAGCUGCAGAGCUAUCCAGUUUAACUGUUACCUGUACCCUGGUAAUUUAGGCUCUGAUUAGGCAAGGUACUUAAGAACGUGCCUAACUUUACACAAGCCAGUAGUUCCAUUAAAGUAAUGUGCUUAAAGUUAGACAUAUGUUUAAGUACCUUGCUGAGAGACUAAGGGAGUUAGUUUUUAAAAGAUUUGCUAUUACUACAUAGUAAUGGUUACGUAGAACACUACAGUGUCAUUGAAGGGCCAUAUACAAGUGGACAAAGUACUAGAGAAUAGUAUAUAUAAUGAAGGUUGUGCGAUGGCAGCAGGCACUAGAUCUGUGAUCUCAUAGAUAUCGCCCAUCUCUUAUUUCUAUAAAUUUAUGCAUAAUAUUUACCCAACUUUGUUACUAUUAUUUAUUAUUUGUAUUACAGUAGGAUGGACCUGGGUCAUGGACCUGGGUCCCAUUGUGCUAGGUGCUGUACAAACACAGAACAAAAAGACAGUCUCUGCCCUAAGGAAUUCCCAAUCUAAGUAUAAGACAAAAAUGUGGAUACAGAUAGAGAGGGGGCCACAAGGAAACAAUGAUGCAUCAAUUACCCUCCUUUAAUUCUUUACUAAUCAAGUCCCUUAUUAGCUGCUCCAUUAUCUUCCCUGAGAUCAAUGUCAGGCUGACAGACCUCUAAUUAGCUGAGUCAUCCUGUUUAUCCUUUUUAAAAAUUGGCGUAACAUUACCUUUCAUCCAGUCUUCUGGAGCUUCCCCAGUGUGCCAAGUCUUAUUGAAAAUCAAGAUUAAUGGUCUACAAAGCUCUUCAGCCAACUCUUUAAAAACUCUUGGAUGCAAGUUAUCUGGACCUCUGAUUUAAACAUGUCUAACUUUAGUAGCUUCUGUUUAACAUGUUCCAGAGAUACUCAUGUAAUGGAAAGAGUAUUACCAUCACUAUAUGAUGAGACUAAAUAAUCUGUUUUUCCCCCAAGUGCAGAACAGAAAUAUUUAUUGAACACUUUUGCAUUUUCUGGAUUAUUAAUAAUUCUACCAUUUCCAUCUAGUAGUGGACCAAUACCAUUGUCAGGAUUGUUUUUCUUCCUAAUGUAUUUUAAAACCUCCCUUUUAUUGUCCUUAUCUCUGCUAGCCAUAGAUUUCUUCUUGUGUUCCUUUGCUUCCCUUAUCAAUUUCAUGCAAUUUCUGAUUUAUGUUCAUGACUAGCAACUUCUCCCUUCUUCCUUUUGUUAUAUUUUUUGUACCUGCCUUCACUUCCCCUCUAAACCUGAUCAGCUUUUAACCAGAACGGCCUUCGUCCUCAGUUGUGGGAUUUGGCCUUUUUGGGUAUCUAAUAGGAUGCUCUUAAAUUAUUCCCAAUUAUCAUUCAUGCUAUGCAGGAAGAAACCGUAAGAUUUAGACCCAGUCUGCAUGUGAGGAUCUAGAGAGAGGUUUGAGUCAAAGAUGACACCCGGACAGGGCUGUCCCUAGCUAUUCUGGGGCCCUACGCAGCCCCCCUGUGGGGGGGGGGGCAGGCCUCUGCAGGGGGAGGAGCUGGCCCCAGGCCACCGUGGGCGGGGGGGCAGGCCUCCAUGGGGGAUCAGACACAUUCAUUAUAUAGAGCAGGUUUUUCUCAAACUGUGGGCAGUGUCUGCAAGGGCCCAGAACUCUUCUUUGUCCUUUGUAUUUACCACCUCGAAAAGAAGAAAGUGCCAAUGGCUGCUUAGGAUUUUGGACCCCCUGUGCACCUGUCCUGGCUUCACUUGCAGUCGCUCCUUGACACCCAGCCAGGGUGCAGGGAGUGAGCAGGGAUUCCACUGCAGGGACUCUGCCUGGACAUUGGAGGCAUCGCUCUGGUGCUGAUACUGCCCAGCAUGUGUGGUGGCCACCCUCCCCAGCAUGUGCCCCCCAAUGGAACCCUGCUCCCCUGGGGGAGGGAUUUCUUGGUCACCCUCCAGCUCCAGUUUGGCUCAGUCUCUCCACACCUGGCUGAACUCAGCAUAGAGACAAGCUCAUCCAGCCUUGUGGGACCUGUGCAGUUUCUGAGCUCUCACAAGGACCCUGUUUUCAAGUCUUUCUCCACAGCCAUGAGGGCUAGAAACUUCUUUCUUUCUAAAAUGAAAGCUGAAAUUUGCUUCUCUUGACUCCAGCAGCUGGUAUGUUCAGAAAAACACCCAAUAUUGUGAGACCCACAAUAAGAUCACAAGAGCUGGCAAUACUGUGUUGACAGAGCAUUUGAUCUGCUGCCUAACUGGAACAUAUCCUGUUCAGAAAGCAUAUUGCUUCAGCAUUACUUAUCUGUGCUGGAGGUUCCGGGUCCCUUUGAGCAACAACUUGUGCCAUCUGUUUCCCUCCGUGUUGUGCAACAGAGGGGAGCGUGCUCCUGAAGAUCACAGACUGAGAUCAGAGGGCCUGUCUCUCCUCUCAGCGAGGCCAGUUUUACGCCUCUGGACAUCAAUUAAAAUUGGUUGCGCCCAAUUUACAGCAGCGUAAAUGGAAAGAGAACCAAGCUCAAUAUUUUUGGAACAUAUCAGAUGUCCUGGCUGAUGGUGCUCCCCAAGUACGUGAACGUUUCUACAUAGGUGAGAACAUAACCCACUAUCCGUACUGGUGAUGGUGAGGCAAUAUUAAAGGUGGUGGAGAUGGAUCAGUCAUGAGCUGUGGAUGGAAACUGAUUCCAUCAGCAGAGUAGCAACAGGACGGACACCUGAAGGCAAGAGAAAAUGAGGAUGCCCGAAAACAACAUGGCGAAGAGCUACGGAAGCCGAGCUGAAAAAUCUGACACACAGCUGGGGAACCACUGGAAGACUUGCCAGAAACAGACAGGAGUGGAGGAGCUUCGUCACUGCCCUAAACGCCAGGGGCUUAAUAGGAACAUCAUGAUGAUGAUGAUGAAAUAAAUUACAAUGAUUUGGACAUGGAUAUGUGCAUAUUUAUUUGUUUUUCUUAAAGUUACUUAAGUAUUUUAGGAAAAAUUGUCAGAGCAGCCACCAGCAAGAGAUGGUGGCCGCAUUCUGAGGCCACCAAAAACAUUGUUGUGAGAACCCCUGCUCUAGACAUUUUCCAAGUGUAGAGAGGCACAGUGGCCUCCCUCCAAUCUUGAUGGGGAGGAACCAUCCCACAGGCCCUAAUGGGUGGAGCCAAGACAGUCCUGCCCACUGCAACAGAAGCAAAGGGGCAAGACAGGAAGUUUAUGAGGUGGGCCCUCCAGCUCAGUUGGGCUGGAGCCAGGGAAGGAGGCAGACAUCUCUGUGGAACUCCAGACCAGGGACCGAGCUGUGCAGCGCCAUGCCCUUGAGGAGACCUAGUGCGGAAUGGAGUUGCUGGGACUUCCGUCAACCGUUUACUCUGAGACGUCUGAGGCCCCAAAAACUAUGGAGCCACGCCAAGGAAGUGGGGUAGGAAGUGGCCCAGGGAACCAGUCAUUAGUCCGGUGAUGUUGCUGGGAAACGAGUCAACAUGUUUCAAUGGCUUCCCCCCUUACUCAGUGGCGGGAGCACCCUGAGCACCCACCACUGUUAGGGCCCUGGACUGGGACCCGGUAGAAUAGGGUGGGCCUGGGUCCCCCUACUGCCAACCCCAUCCCUGGGUCUGGUCUGGUCACCCUAGGCUGGAAGACUUGUGCCUUUUUUGUGGCUUGUUGCUCUAUCCCACCCAGAGGGUCCGAGCCCCAGAGUGUGUUUGCUGUCUGAUCCAGCCUGAAGUCUGCAGCUAAAGAUUGCUCGUUGCUUUGCCCCACCCAGAGGGUCAGAGCCCCUAGACUGUCAACUGCUGUCUGCCCAAGCCAGAGACUGGACAAUAGACUGUGUGCUGCUCUGUCCGACCUGAGGGCCAGAGCCAAUGCCUGCUAAUUGACUGGUUGUUAUCUGACAUGGUGAGGCAGAGUGGCCUCCCUCUGAGCCUGACUGAGAGGGAUGACCACUGAACCACUACACUGAGCAGAAUUAUAAUGAUUUUCAAAAGUAAUUCCUCACCCAUUAACCCCAUGUGAAUGUGACUACAGGACCAGGAUUUACAGAAUUAUUCACAAUCUCCAGGUAACAAAAUGCACGCACAGAUUCAAAGCCAAGUCCUAGUUCCAGGGGAGGCAAUGCCAUGAGUGACUUCCCCAAAUCCACAUAAAGUUAACGGCACAGGAAAGUUAGAACCUGAGUCCCAGCUCAGUGGUCAAUUCACUAGACCAUGCUAUUAUUAUUAUUUAUUACUUGUACUGCAGUAGGCCUAGGAGCCUCAGCCACGGACCAGUACACUGUACAAACAACAAAAAGAUGGUCCCUCUCCCACAGAGCUACCCUGAGAGCUCUUUACAAUCUAUGAAGAUGAAUCCUAGCUGUUUUAGGACACUGACAUUCAGGAUGGACUUCAGACAAUGUUAGAAAAAGUGGCAUUAAUAUGGUUACCUAUGAAGAUUAUACAAGCCUGUUCUAAGACUAAGCUUUGAGUAGAGAGUGAAUUGACCAAGAGGAUUUACCAUAACAGAAAGACGGCCCAAAACAGUACAUAAGUGACUGAACUUUUCCAUGUUGUACGCAGUGCUAUUGUAGCCAGGUCAGUCCCUGGAUAUUAGAGACCAGGUGGGUGAGGUAAUAUCUUUUAUUGGACCAACUUCUUCUGUUGGUGAGAGUCGCAAGCUUUGGCACUUACUCUGACCUGAAGAAGAGUUCUGUGUACGCUCAAAAGCUUGUCUUUCUCCAAGAGAAGUUGGUCCAAUAAAAGAUAUUACCUCUCCCACUUUGUCUCUCUAGACAUUUCCCAAACAGAAAUAGAACAAUUUUCAAAACUAAUUCCCCACCCAUUAACCCCAAAACAGCAUCUCCUUGUCACUGGCAGAACAAAAGAAAUUCUGAUCCUCGAUUGUGAUUUAUCUUACUGUUUCUUGCCCAUUCCUAAACAGGUUCCAUCUAAAAGUGAUAUAUUUCUGUUGGGCUGUCAGCUCGAUUCACCAGCUGUAAAGAAAAUUUCAUUUUAAAAAGGUGCUCAUUCGAAAGGGCCAUUUGUACUGUCGUCUCCUUUAAAGCCAACACAUGUGAUUUAGCACAAAGUGAGAACUCGUUAGCUUAGCCAUGCAUGCUCGGUGAGGUCGCAGAGCAGACAAUGAGUGCAGAUGGUAGGGGGCUGCAGAUGUAUUGGGAUCCACAGCUGAAAUGCACUGCACUGUGUCUGCAAGUGCUUGGGAUACUCACACAAACUCAGCAGGGUCAAGGGAGAGCUCAGACAAGAUUAUUGUCAUGCAGAUUAAAGGUGCUGAUCCCCUUUGUAAAACAGACUGGUUUCUCGGGCCAAAUUUUAUAUCUUUUAUUAGCCUGCUUUGCAUGCUGUCUCUUGCUAACAUCGAAUUUCCCAUUUAGCAAGAAGUUAUGACUAUAUACACACAAACAUGUGCACAACCCCUCUGCUCCAUCCAUAUACGUGUGGGGGGGGGGCAUGUGUGUGGGGCAUAUAAUAUAUUGUAUGUAAUGUAAUUAUGGAAUGGGAAAUGGUUUUUAAAUUAUAUAUAAUACAGUAUUCAUUUACACACGAUUUAUAAUAUAAAUAAUCAAAUUAACAUUUCCACUUUAUCAUUCUGAGACAAUAACUAGGAUUUUGGCAGAAUUUAAGAGCCACUGUC